GAGAGCACUGGAUCCCUCGAAGCUGGAGUUACAGGAGGUCGUGAGCUGCUACCUCGGUGCUGAGAACAAACUGUGGGUCCUCUGCAGGAGCAGUUGGUGCUCUUAACAGCUGAGCCACCUUUCCAACUCCAUGACUGACACUCUAAGAUGCUGGGCGGUGGUGAGCCACAGCAGCCAGCCACACAGCCAUAAGGGUGAGAAACCCAUGCUCUGCAGGACGCCAUGCUGUGACUGAAAUUCGUCAAGAUCAGCGUCAUCUCACUGAGCAUUAUCCGACUUGUGAACUGAACCCUGGUGAUCAGUCGUCUCUACUAACUUGGAAUGACAACUCUGCUUUCGACGUUUUUCUAAGACGGCCUGCCAAGUGAGUCAAGGAACCUCGAAAGAGCCAUGACUAAAGAUCUCCACAAUCAUCUCUGACAGAUUUCACAGACAGAGUAUAUGGAAGCCCAACUUGAUCUUCACUGUCCUCCUUAAUGGUGCUGAUGGGAAAGAUGCAGUGGAGUCAAUGGACCCAGGUCGGGCCACUCACUACUUUUCUUCUGAGUCCAAGGUGGAUAUGAACAUCUGUUUCGGACGGACAUUUUCCUCACCACACAGGAGUCUUUUAGCUACUCUGUGGCAUUCUUCACAGCA
rnacentral:sRNA from 1 species